rnacentral:rRNA from 17 species
GUUGUAUGGUUAAGUGACUAAGCGUAUACGGUGGAUGCCUUGGCAGUCAGAGGCGAUGAAGGACGUAGUAACUUGCGAAAAGCGUUGGCGAGCUAGUAACAAGCAUUUGAGCUAACGAUAUCCGAAUGGGGAAACCCACUCACAUAAGUGAGUAUCACAUACUGAAUACAUAGGUAUGUGAGGCAAACCCGGGGAACUGAAACAUCUAAGUACCCGGAGGAAAAGAAAUCAACCGAGAUUCCCCUAGUAGCGGCGAGCGAACGGGGAUUAGCCCUUAAGUCUAUAGGGUGUUAGUGGAAUGAGUUGGAAAGCUCAGCGGCACAGGGUGAUAGCCCCGUACAUGAAAACUAACUAUAGAUGAAAACGAGUAGGACGGGACACGUGACAUCUUGUCUGAACAUAGGGGGACCAUCCUCCAAGGCUAAAUACUCCUGACUGACCGAUAGUGAACCAGUACCGUGAGGGAAAGGCGAAAAGAACCCCUGUGAGGGGAGUGAAAUAGAACCUGAAACCGUAUACGUACAAGCAGUGGGAGCGGUCCUUGAGACCGUGACUGCGUACCUUUUGUAUAAUGGGUCAGCGACUUACAUUUUGUAGCAAGGUUAAGCGAAUAGCGGAGCCGUAGGGAAACCGAGUGUUAACUGCGCGUUUAGUUGCAAGGUGUAGACCCGAAACCGAGUGAUCUAGCCAUGGGCAGGUUGAAGGUUGAGUAACAUCAACUGGAGAUGAACACACGUAUGUUGAAAAAUGCGGUGAUGACUUGUGGCUGGGGGUGAAAGGCCAAUCAAACUCGGAGAUAUCUGGUUCUCCUCGAAAGCUAUUUAGGUAGCGCCUCGUACGAAUACCAUUGGGGGUAGAGCACUGUUAAGGCUAGGGGGUCAUCCCGACUUACCAACCCUUUGCAAACUCCGAAUACCAAUGAGUACUAUACGGAGACACACGGCGGGUGCUAACGUCCGUCGUGAAAAGGAAACAACCCAGACCAUCAGCUAACCCAAAGUUAUUGCUAAGUGGGAAACGAUGUGGGAAGGCUUAGACAGCUAGGAUGUUGGCUUAGAAGCAGCCAUCAUUUAAAGAAAGCGUAAUAGCUCACUAGUCGAGUCGGCCUGCGCGGAAGAUUUAACGGGCUAAGCAAUACACCGAAGCUAUGGGUUUGCUAGUUUACUAGCAAGCGGUAGAGGAGCGUUCUGUAAGCCGUUGAAGGCGAAGGGUAACCCACGCUGGAGGUAUCAGAAGUGCGAAUGCUGACAUGAGUAACGAUAAAGGAGUGAAAACUCCUCGCCGAAAGACCAAGGUUUCCUGUCCAAUGUUAAUCAGGGCAGGGUAAGUCGACCCCUAAGGUGAGGCCGAAAGGCGUAAUCGAUGGGAAACGGGUUAAUAUUCCCGUACUUCUACUAACUGCGAUGGAGAGACGGAGAAGGCUAGGCUAGCGCGGCGUUGGUUGUCCGCGUUUAAGGCUGUAGGCUGUUCACUUAGGCAAAUCCGGGUGAACGCAUUAAAUUGCAAAGCUGAGAGUUGAUGACGAGUCCCCAAGGGGAUGAAGUAGUUGAUGCCAUGCUUCCAGGAAAAUCUUCUAAGCUUCAGGUUAGUAGGAAUCGUACCCCAAACCGACACAGGUGGUUGGGUAGAGAAUACCAAGGCGCUUGAGAGAACUCGGCUGAAGGAACUAGGCAAAAUGGUACCGUAACUUCGGGAGAAGGUACGCUGCCGGCGGUGAUGGGACUUGCUCCUUAAGCUGCUGGCAGUCGCAGAUACCAGGUGGCUGCAACUGUUUAUCAAAAACACAGUACUGUGCAAACUCGCAAGAGGAAGUAUACGGUAUGACGCCUGCCCGGUGCCGGAAGGUUAAUUGAUUGGGUUAUCUUCGGAGAAGCUCAUGAUCGAAGCCCCGGUAAACGGCGGCCGUAACUAUAACGGUCCUAAGGUAGCGAAAUUCCUUGUCGGGUAAGUUCCGACCUGCACGAAUGGCGUAAUGACGGCCACGCUGUCUCCAGCCGAGACUCAGUGAAGUUGAAAUUGCGGUGAAGAUGCCGUAUACCCGCGGCUAGACGGAAAGACCCCGUGCACCUUUACUAUAGCUUGGCACUGAACAUUGAACCUACAUGUGUAGGAUAGGUGGGAGACUUUGAAGCAGAGACGCUAGUUUUUGUGGAGUCAACCUUGAAAUACCACCCUUGUAGUUUUGAUGUUCUAACUCUGGCCCCUGAAUCGGGGUUGAGGACAGUGCCUGGUGGGUAGUUUGACUGGGGCGGUCUCCUCCCAAAGAGUAACGGAGGAGCACGAAGGUUGGCUAAGUACGGUCGGACAUCGUACGGUUAGUGCAAUGGCAUAAGCCAGCUUAACUGCGAGACAUACACGUCGAGCAGGUACGAAAGUAGGUCAUAGUGAUCCGGUGGUUCUGAAUGGAAGGGCCAUCGCUCAACGGAUAAAAGGUACGCCGGGGAUAACAGGCUGAUACCGCCCAAGAGUUCAUAUCGACGGCGGUGUUUGGCACCUCGAUGUCGGCUCAUCACAUCCUGGGGCUGAAGUCUGUCCCAAGGGUAUGGCUGUUCGCCAUUUAAAGUGGUACGCGAGCUGGGUUCAGAACGUCGUGAGACAGUUUCCUAUCUGCCGUGGGCGUUGGAUGAUUGAAGGAAGCUGCUCCUAGUACGAGAGAGGAGUGGACGAACCGCUGGUGUUCGGGUUGUUAUGCCAAUAGCAUUGCCCGGUAGCUACGUUCGGAAUCGAUAACCGCUGAAAGCAUCUAAGCGGGAAGCGAGUCCUAAGAUGAGUCAUCCCUAGGAAUUUAAUUCCUCUAAAGAGCCGUUCGAGACUAGGACGUUGAUAGGCAGGGUGUGUAAGCGUUGUGAGGCGUUGAGCUAACCUGUACUAAUGACUCGUGAGGCUUAACCAUACAACCCAGAUGGGUUUGU